rnacentral:piRNA from 1 species
UUAAAAGUCUAAAUGAUGAAGCUAGAGUGA